GUUGAUAGGUCAGAGGUGUAAGUGCGGCAACGUAUUUAGCUGACUGAUACUAAUAGGUCGAGGGCUUGACCAAUAUAA
rnacentral:rRNA from 1 species